rnacentral:lncRNA from 1 species
CCCCAGUGCCCUUGGGGAUCCUCCAUUGCUCCCUCCCACUUGAAGGAGCUCUGGGGGCCGUGCUGAGGCCUCACUCCGGGUGGUUGUUUGAGGUAUAAUCCAGGCACAAAGCCUAGAUCUGGCUUUGAAGUUGGUCUGCGCCUGUGACAACUCCACGAGAGGGCAGCUGCAAGAGACAGUCGGUGCUCAGGGGCUCCCGGCGGCUGGCACACGGCUCCUGAGCACAAGCAGUGAGGACGUCGCAGGAGGAAUCUGAGGGCUGCCCCUGCCCCGUGCCACCCCCCCCCACACACACACAAACACACACACACACACAUUGAGGACAUCACAGGGGAAUCUGAGGGCUGCCCCCGCCCCCUGCACUCACCCACAUACACACACACAUACAGACGGGGCUUCCACUGCAGCACCCAGCCACACUAGAUAGAGAGGGCUGGAGACAGUGGCUGCUGUAUUCUUGACUUCACAAGCAUCACAAAGGAAAUGCCUCCAUCAGCAGCGGUCCUAUCCUGAAAUGCGACGGGGCCAUAAUGGCAGCCUGAAAUCCCACGGACUGGCCUCAGUCGGAUUCUUCUGUGGUUGUUUGUUGUUGGCUGUGGCCUUGUGUGUGAGGCCAGCUGGAAGUGAGAGCUCUGCUUAACCCUACAGAGACCUGCCCGGAGCCUCCUGCUUCUCGGACCUUGUGGCCAAGUGGCCGUGGG